GAGGAGGAGAGGGCCAGGGAGGAGGGGAGGGAGGAGGGAGAGAGAGAGGAAAGGAGAGAGGGAGGGAAAGAGACAGGAGACCGAGAAGGGAGACGCACUGUGACUAGCAGAGUGGUGUUCUAGCUGUCCAGUGAAAGUUGCACGGCGGAGGUAAUAAUUCUUCAGAUUCUGCCGCUGCCACAGCAUAGAAAUCUGAAGGCAGGGAGCUGUGCCCGCCCUCCACCCACAGCUUCCAGCAAUUACUCAGAUGGCUGGUUUCCAGCGGCGAUCCUGGGCUUCUGUAAGGAGACAUCUACCACAGAUAAUUAGGAUUAAUAACUAAUAAUAAGAAGUUUCCAAAUGUAAUUUUCAUUUUUCCUUCUUUCGUUAGAUGGCACAAAAUAAAUGUGCUAAGAUUUCAUUGAAACAGAAUCUUAUUCUCCACAGCCAAGUAAUAUAGGGGAGGGAGGACUCCUUAUAAAGAAUUAGACCAACUGUGCAAUUUAUUCCUACCACAUUUCAGGUCGAGAAUUCUUUUAUAAGAAUCUAUGUAUGUGGAAGGUGAGGAGAGAACUAGGUGGGAAAAGAGAAGAAUUUUUCUACUUUUCUUAAAAGACAGACAGAAAGAAAGAAAGAAAAAGAAAAAGAAAAAGAAAAAGAAAAAGAACGCAACCAAAAAACCCCAACCAUUUACUAAGCUGAUCCUGAAAAGAACCUUAUAGGAUACGCAUCAUUAUUGCCAUUUGACAACUAGCCUAACGUCACACAACUAGAGAGGCUCCUUCUCAGAGGAGCUUGGGUUUCCAAGAAGCAUCGGGAAACAGAACUUGGCGCUGACCCUCACUUGAUGGCACCGCCAGCCCGCCUCCAGCGCGCCAGCCCCUGGGCCUUACCUCCAGCCACUUUACACCCCACCUCUACUCAGGUCAUCCUGCUGCGGCGGGAACGAAGACUUCCGGGACUCCUCCCCGGGUAGGCGUCACCGUCCAGUGCCCCGCCUGCCCCUCCUGCACGGGCACCUGGGCCUGUCCUUCCACACUGUGGCCGAGCCAAGGUCGGCGGCUUCAUCCGGCGUGGCUCGCGGAAGGACUCCCGGGUCACUGAAGCUGGUGCGAAGCAGGGUCCCCAUCACAAA